CCUACGGGCGGCAGCAGUAGGGAAUAUUGCUCAAUGGGGGAAACCCUGAAGCCGCAACGCCGCGUGGAGGAUGAAGGUUUUCGGAUUGUAAACUCCUUUUGUUAGAGAAGAUAAUGACGGUAUCUAACGAAUAAGCACCGGAUAACUCCGUGCAAGCAGCCGCGGUAAUACGGAGGGUGCAAGCGUUACUCGGAAUCCCUGGGCGUAAAGAGAGCGUAGGCGGGAUAGCAAGUCAGAUGUGAAAUCCUAUGGCUUAACCAUAGAACUGAAUUUGAAACUGUUAUUCUAGAGUAUGGGAGAGGUAGGUGGAAUUCUUGGUGUAGGGGUAAAAUCCGUAGAGAUCAAGAGGAAUACUCAUUGCGAAGGCGACCUGCUAGAACAUAACUGACGCUGAUGCGCGAAAGCGGGGGGAGCAAACAGGAUUAGAUACCCCGGUAGUC
rnacentral:rRNA from 1 species